rnacentral:rRNA from 1 species
AUGGAAGAGGACAAAAACAACACAGAUCCCAUAGAAUGUAUGAUUCUGGAUAGACCCCCUGAGAAUUUCAAAACAUCAAAUACAUCAACAGAAGUUGAGCUCAUCUUGCGGUCAUUUAUUCUUUCACCGUCUGUCAACCCAACAAACGAUGAUUUAAUAGAUGAACUUUGCUUGUUCAUCAGUAUGGUUGAUGAUGUCGCUCUACUAGAAAAAGUUGUCUCAAUUUUUGAUCCGAUACCAAUACCUUCUUUCGGGAAGAAUGUACUUAAAACCGUGGCCGACAAUCUAAACAUUGCGCUUGAAGUUGCAAACUCUGCAUUCAAGGAUGAUAUCUCUAAAUGGGAAUGCAUAGUUCCUGAUGCUCCAACAAACUCACACGGUGCCUUGUCUGGUUAUUUGGUUUUUAAUUACAUGCACUCGUUGUGCGAUGGAAAGCUAUAUUUUCCCAUACCCCAGGAUGAUUUUCAACUGAGGAAGCAAUUUUUGGUGCAUAUUUUAAAGUACAAAGAGAAUGAAGUUCAAAACAAUAUCCCAUACAUUGAAAGAAGCAUCAUUGAUGGCAUCUAUAGAUGGACCCUCAUUGAUUCAAAAGAUGGACCUUCAAAACAUGCUUAG